rnacentral:rRNA from 1 species
UACGUAGGUGGCAAGCGUUGUCCGGAUUUACUGGGCGUAAAGGAUGCGUAGGUGGAUGUUUAAGUCAGAUGUGAAAUACCCGAGCUUAACUUGGGUGCUGCAUUUGAAACUGGAUAUCUAGAGUGCAGGAGAGGUAAGUGGAAUUCCUAGUGUAGCGGUGAAAUGCGUAGAGAUUAGGAAGAACACCAGUGGCGAAGGCGACUUACUGGACUGUAACUGACACUGGAGGCAUGAAAGCGUGGGUAGCAAACAGG